AGCGUACACGGUGGAUGCCUAGGCAGUCAGAGGCGAUGAAGGGCGUGCUAAUCUGCGAAAAGCGUCGGUAAGGUGAUAUGAACCGUUAUAACCGGCGAUACCCGAAUGGGGAAACCCAGUGUGUUUCGACACACUAUCAUGUCAUGAAUACAUAGUGGCAUGAGGCGAACCGGGGGAACUGAAACAUCUAAGUACCCCGAGGAAAAGAAAUCAACCGAGAUUCCCCCAGUAGCGGCGAGCGAACGGGGAGGAGCCCAGAACCUGAAUCGGCUUGUGUGUUAGUGGAAGCGUCUGGAAAGUCGCGCAGCAAAGGGUGAUAGCCCCGUACACUAAAAUGCACAGGUCGUGAGUUCGAUGAGUAGGGCGGGACACGUGACAUCCUGUCUGAAUAUGGGGGGACCAUCCUCCAAGGCUAAAUACUCCUGACUGACCGAUAGUGAACCAGUACCGUGAGGGAAAGGCGAAAAGAACCCCGGCGAGGGGAGUGAAAUAGAACCUGAAACCGUGUACGUACAAGCAGUGGGAGCACCUUCGUGGUGUGACUGCGUACCUUUUGUAUAAUGGGUCAGCGACUUAUAUUUUGUAGCAAGGUUAACCGUAUAGGGGAGCCGUAGGGAAACCGAGUCUUAACUGGGCGAUUAGUUGCAAGGUAUAGACCCGAAACCCGGUGAUCUAGCCAUGGGCAGGUUGAAGGUUGGGUAACACUAACUGGAGGACCGAACCGACUAAUGUUGAAAAAUUAGCGGAUGACUUGUGGCUGGGGGUGAAAGGCCAAUCAAACCGGGAGAUAGCUGGUUCUCCCCGAAAGCUAUUUAGGUAGCGCCUCGUGAACUCAUCUUCGGGGGUAGAGCACUGUUUCGGCUAGGGGGCCAUCCCGGCUUACCAAACCGAUGCAAACUCCGAAUACCGAAGAAUGUUAUCACGGGAGACACACGGCGGGUGCUAACGUCCGUCGUGAAGAGGGAAACAACCCAGACCGCCAGCUAAGGUCCCAAAGUCAUGGUUAAGUGGGAAACGAUGUGGGAAGGCACAGACAGCCAGGAUGUUGGCUUAGAAGCAGCCAUCAUUUAAAGAAAGCGUAAUAGCUCACUGGUCGAGUCGGCCUGCGCGGAAGAUGUAACGGGGCUAAACCAUGCACCGAAGCUGCGGCAGCGACGCUUAGGCGUUGUUGGGUAGGGGAGCGUUCUGUAAGCCGUUGAAGGUGGCCUGUGAGGGUUGCUGGAGGUAUCAGAAGUGCGAAUGCUGACAUAAGUAACGAUAAAGCGGGUGAAAAGCCCGCUCGCCGGAAGACCAAGGGUUCCUGUCCAACGUUAAUCGGGGCAGGGUGAGUCGACCCCUAAGGCGAGGCUGAAAAGCGUAGUCGAUGGGAAACAGGUUAAUAUUCCUGUACUUGGUGUUACUGCGAAGGGGGGACGGAGAAGGCUAGGCUGGCCGGGCGACGGUUGUCCCGGUUUAAGCGUGUAGGGGGUGUGACCUGGUAAAUCCGGUUGCAUAUCAACCCUGAGGCGUGAUGACGAUGCACUACGGUGCAGAAGUAGUUGAUGCCCUGCUUCCAGGAAAAUCCUCUAAGCUCCAGGUAACAUUAAAUCGUACCCCAAACCGACACAGGUGGUCAGGUAGAGAAUACCAAGGCGCUUGAGAGAACUCGGGUGAAGGAACUAGGCAAAAUGGUGCCGUAACUUCGGGAGAAGGCACGCUGGCAUGUAGGUGAAGUCCCUUGCGGAUGGAGCUGAAGCCAGUCGAAGAUACCAGCUGGCUGCAACUGUUUAAUAAAAACACAGCACUGUGCAAACACGAAAGUGGACGUAUACGGUGUGACGCCUGCCCGGUGCUGGAAGGUUAAUUGAUGGGGUCAGCCGCAAGGCGAAGCUCUUGAUCGAAGCCCCAGUAAACGGCGGCCGUAACUAUAACGGUCCUAAGGUAGCGAAAUUCCUUGUCGGGUAAGUUCCGACCUGCACGAAUGGCGUAAUGAUGGCCAGGCUGUCUCCACCCGAGACUCAGUGAAAUUGAACUCGCUGUGAAGAUGCAGUGUACCCGCGGCAAGACGGAAAGACCCCGUGAACCUUUACUAUAGCUUGACACUGAACAUUGAGCCUUGAUGUGUAGGAUAGGUGGGAGGCUUUGAAGCGUGGACGCCAGUCUGCGUGGAGCCAUCCUUGAAAUACCACCCUUUAAUGUUUGAUGUUCUAACUCUGCCCCAUAAUCUGGGGUGAGGACAGUGUCUGGUGGGUAGUUUGACUGGGGCGGUCUCCUCCCAAAGAGUAACGGAGGAGCACGAAGGUUAGCUAAUCACGGUCGGACAUCGUGAGGUUAGUGCAAAGGCAUAAGCUAGCUUGACUGCGAGAGUGACGGCUCGAGCAGGUACGAAAGUAGGUCUUAGUGAUCCGGUGGUUCUGAAUGGAAGGGCCAUCGCUCAACGGAUAAAAGGUACUCCGGGGAUAACAGGCUGAUACCGCCCAAGAGUUCAUAUCGACGGCGGUGUUUGGCACCUCGAUGUCGGCUCAUCACAUCCUGGGGCUGAAGUAGGUCCCAAGGGUAUGGCUGUUCGCCAUUUAAAGUGGUACGCGAGCUGGGUUUAGAACGUCGUGAGACAGUUCGGUCCCUAUCUGCCGUGGGCGUUGGAAGAUUGAGAGGGGUUGCUCCUAGUACGAGAGGACCGGAGUGAACGCACCACUGGUGUUCGGGUUGUCAUGCCAAUGGCAUUGCCCGGUAGCUAAGUGCGGAAAAGAUAAGCGCUGAAAGCAUCUAAGCGCGAAACUUGCCUCAAGAUGAGUCUUCCCUGGACCUUUAAGGUCCCUGAAGGAACGUUUAAGACUAAGACGUUGA
rnacentral:rRNA from 1 species